UACGGGGGGAGCAAGCGUUGUUCGGAUUUACUGGGCGUAAAGGGCUCGUAGGCGGUCCAUCGCGUCGGGAGUGAAAAGCUGGGGCUUAACCCCAGUCCUGCUUCCGAUACGGGUGGACUAGAGGUAUGCAGGGGAGAACGGAAUUCCUGGUGUAGCGGUGGAAUGCGCAGAUAUCAGGAGGAAUACCGGUGGCGAAGGCGGGUCUCUGGGCCGUAACUGACGCUGAGGAGCGAAAGCGUGGGGAGCGAACAGG
rnacentral:rRNA from 1 species